rnacentral:rRNA from 1 species
UACAGAGGUCCCAAGCGUUGUUCGGAUUCACUGGGCGUAAAGGGUGCGUAGGUGGUGAGGUAAGUCGGAUGUGAAAGCUCGGAGCUCAACUCCGAAAUGGCAUUGGAAACUACCUUGCUCGAGUAUGGGAGAGGGAAGUGGAAUUUCCGGUGUAGCGGUGAAAUGCGUAGAUAUCGGAAGGAACAUCAGUGGCGAAGGCGACUUCCUGGACCAAUACUGACGCUCAGGUGCGAAAGCGUGGGGAGCAAACAGG